rnacentral:rRNA from 1 species
GACGAACGCUGGCGGCGUGCUUAACACAUGCAAGUCGAACGAUGAACCGGUUUCGGCCGGGGAUUAGUGGCGAACGGGUGAGUAACACGUGGGCAAUCUGCCCUGCACUCUGGGAUAAGCCCGGGAAACUGGGUCUAAUACCGGAUACGACACUCCGAGGCAUCUUGGGGUGUGGAAAGUUCCGGCGGUGCAGGAUGAGCCCGCGGCCUAUCAGCUUGUUGGUGGGGUAAUGGCCUACCAAGGCGACGACGGGUAGCCGGCCUGAGAGGGUGACCGGCCACGCUGGGACUGAGACACGGCCCAGACUCCUACGGGAGGCAGCAGUGGGGAAUAUUGCACAAUGGGCGAAAGCCUGAUGCAGCGACGCCGCGUGAGGGAUGACGGCCUUCGGGUUGUAAACCUCUUUCAGCAGGGAAGAAGCGAAAGUGACGGUACCUGCAGAAGAAGCACCGGCUAACUACGUG